GACGAACGCUGGCGGCGUGCUUAACACAUGCAAGUCGAACGGAAAGGCCCUGCUUUUGUGGGGUGCUCGAGUGGCGAACGGGUGAGUAACACGUGAGUAACCUGCCCUUGACUUUGGGAUAACUUCAGGAAACUGGGGCUAAUACCGGAUAGGAGCUCCUGCUGCAUGGUGGGGGUUGGAAAGUUUCGGCGGUUGGGGAUGGACUCGCGGCUUAUCAGCUUGUUGGUGGGGUAGUGGCUUACCAAGGCUUUGACGGGUAGCCGGCCUGAGAGGGUGACCGGCCACAUUGGGACUGAGGUAGGGCCCAGACUCCUACGGGAGGCAGCAGUGGGGAAUAGUGCACAAUGGGCGGAAGCCUGAUGCAGCAACGCCGCGUGCGGGAUGACGGCCUUCGGGUUGUAAACCGCUUUCGCCUGUGACGAAGCGUGAGUGACGGUAAUGGGUAAAGAAGCACCGGCUAACUACGUG
rnacentral:rRNA from 1 species